GAUCCUGGCUCAGGAUGAACGCUAGCUACAGGCUUAACACAUGCAAGUCGAGGGGAAACGAUAGAGAAAGCUUGCUUUUUCUAGGCGUCGACCGGCGCACGGGUGAGUAACGCGUAUCCAACCUGCCCAUCACUUGGGGAUAACCUUGCGAAAGUAAGACUAAUACCCAAUGACGUCUCUAGAAGACAUCUGAAAGAGAUUAAAGAUUUAUCGGUGAUGGAUGGGGAUGCGUCUGAUUAGCUUGUUGGCGGGGUAACGGCCCACCAAGGCGACGAUCAGUAGGGGUUCUGAGAGGAAGGUCCCCCACAUUGGAACUGAGACACGGUCCAAACUCCUACGGGAGGCAGCAGUGAGGAAUAUUGGUCAAUGGACGAGAGUCUGAACCAGCCAAGUAGCGUGCAGGAAGACGGCCCUAUGGGUUGUAAACUGCUUUUAUAAGGGAAUAAAGUGAGUCUCGUGAGACUUUUUGCAUGUACCUUAUGAAUAAGGACCGGCUAAUUCCGUG
rnacentral:rRNA from 1 species